CUGUAGUCAUUGCCUUAAAGAAAAUGUUUAUGGCCCGACUGGGAUAAUUAUAUUCUCCUAUUAAAUAUUACUCCUCCAGGGCUAGUUAUUGUUGAGUACAAAUGUGCCACUUUAUAUGCAAAUAAAAUGUAUGGAGAUGUGAAUAAAAAGUUCUGCAUCUAUCUACUCACAAAUCAUCUUAUAAUGAUUCAUAUUAACAGAUAGAACUUCUCAAGAUGGGAGAUGUUAAUAUCACAUACAAGAGGCAAUUCUUUCCUUGAACUUUUGCUUUCAAGAUAGUUUAGAUACAGCUGGAAAUAUUUGCUUUUCUCACAGUGACAGCAAAUUGGGGUUUGCAUUCUGAGUUGUAUUUUUGAUUCUAUUUAUUUACCUGAGAAAGA